CUGGGAUUGCAGAUGUGAGCCACCGCACCUGGCCAAGUUAUCUUUAAUUUCUACAUUGUGUAUUGUGUAUCAGCUGUUUGAAAUGAUGAACCUGAGUCCACAAUUUUUUUAGAAGAUGCUGUUAACUAUCUUAAUAAUGGCAGCAUUCCUGAGGUUGUGAAAAUGACUUUACUGAACAGGAAGCAUGUUUUCCUUAUAGACAAAUAGCACGAAUUCAUAUUACUUAUAAAAGAUACUGCCUCUUGAAAUUAGCACUUUGAAUUUCACCUUUUCGUCUAGAUAUUUCCACUGGUAACAAAAUUUCCCUGGAAGUCAGUGUUUGGAGUUAUAAGAUCAAUUUGUGACCCAAAAAUAUAAACGGUCUACCUUUUAUCCUGUUUGUGAUGAGUGAAAGGCAAAAGUAAACAGAAAAAAGAAACCUGAUAUGACUUCACUCUUGAAAUAUUGUGCAAUGAUUUUCUGAAGGUAAGUAGCAGGCUUUGUAUCUUGAGAACCUAACGAAGUUAAACAGCAGUCCUCACUCUGGGCACAGAAGUCACAGCUUACAGUACUGGAAUGAGGCCCAGGAUGAUGUCAUCCUGGGCAGAGACCUUAUCCGUAACCCCACAGUGCAUUUGUAUUAGGCAGUGAUGUCUCUGUCACCAGGAACUUCACUGAGCCUUCCUGAAGCUCUCAAGCAUGUCAUAGAAAUAUUGUCCAUCUCAAAAUUUGCCCUAGAAAGGAACCAGGAAGUUUUCCUUUUUGAAAGUUCUUGAGAUGAUAUAUGUCUUGAGUCUUGUGGGGAUUCAUUCAAAUCCCUGGAGCUGGCAUAAAGAUUUUUGAAGUGAGAACAUUUGAGCUAAAGAAGAUACAGAAAAAAGUGUUAUCUCGACUGCACUUACCUGACUAAAGCAGGGCCUCCCGAAAAUACUGCUGCCAUUAACCCCCAUCUGAGGGGGUUUCCUGGAAUUUCGCUGCCAGGGAGACAGAGUGUCCAUUGCUAUUAGCAUCAAAAACCUCAACAGAACCUUCCAUACCUUCUUAUUGAAGCCCUAACCCCUCUACCCUUUGUUAAAUUUUGUAUAUGAACCCUUUAAUCUCAGGCUAUUGAGUGAGUUAUUAUCUCUGAGAACUCCUGUGUAUGUGUAAAUCGCCUAUCUUUUCUCCUGUUAAUCUGUCUAUUGUCAGUUAACUCAUGGGCCUUCAACCACUGGAACUAAAUUGGAUGAGGAAAAGUUUUCUCCCAAUAAUUUUGGUGAUGAGGAUGGGAUGGCUGGGACUCUCUGCUCCUCCAGAAAGUGCAGCUAAGAUGUCAGGAUCUCUGACUAUGCUGACAAAGAUAAAUUUCUUAGCAGCCAGGUUCCCAGAUUUCUGCUCAGAAUCCCGUCAAGUGAGGAUGGUAAGACCAUCUUUCUGUCUUUUCUUCCCAAGAUUUAGAUUUCCGGGAGAAAACACUCAGAACUUAUACUUACUGUAUUGUGACUUGGUUUGAAUACUUUUUAAAAUAGAUCUUUUCCUUCCCAGGGAUAGCUCCUGUAUCCUUUCUGUCUCAUUUUGUGUCCUGAUAGUUUGGUUUGGAUUCAGUCAGAGUGCUCACUCUCUGGCUUUCUGCAUGCUGUGGGGUGCAGAUUGUCUGUUCUGUGCUCAGAAGCAGCCAAUUGUCAGGUUGGGGCUCAAGCAUUUGUAGUUGACUGAAGAGAAAUUUGGGUAUCCUGGGCAUCCCAUUUUCAGCUGGCACCGUGCCGACUGUUGCCAGUGCUAAGGGGGUUUGUCUAAGUUCUCUUUCCUAUUGUCUUGCUAGUGGAGAGAAGUCCCAUCUCAGUAUUACCUGCCCAGAGUCAUGGAUUCGCAGGUACAUGAUCAAAGUCAUAUCAUUUUUAUGGGCAACUGGAGACAGGAGUUUUCACAAGUAUCAUUCUUACUGCCUAUAGCAAUGAUGAUCUUUGCUUUCCUUCUCUUUGGCUGUCUUUGGAGUUGAUUUUGGAUCAUGGGAGCUGCAUCUUCUGCACCCUCUAUGGGGGUGUUUCCUGUGUCCACGAUUAAGCCGUAAAAUAUGUUUAUUCAUUAUGAGUCACAUUUUGGAAAAAGUGUACCUUUGGAGAUACUAAAUCAUCAAUGGCCACACAGCAGAUCCUUUGAUUUGGAACAACUUUUAAAUUUGAGAGGAUUUUCAGAAAGCUCUCAUCCUAAACAAAUGUCCUGUUACCAAUAUGGGAGGAUCAGAAUGAAAGGACAUUUAAAAAAAAAAAAAAAAGUAUCACAGCUAGCCUAAAAGACUCCCUUAACAAAACUAAAGAACAGAAAUCAGAUCUAGAACAAAAAUUGAAAUUCACACUCACCAUAAACUCUCCCCGUCCCCUGCACCACUAUCUUCCUCCUGCAAAUGGCCCAGUUGGAGGCUGAUAUUCAGGGCCUGAGAGGAGCUAUUAAAGAUGUUUUCCCUUCCGUCUUCCCUCCCACUCUGAAGGUUAAUUGGGCUAAAGUGGAGCAAUGUACUCAGAGGAAAGGAAUACAUCCUAAAGUCUUUGUUGAAUGACUUAUAAAAACAUUCCAAAGACACAUAGCUCUAAAUCCAGAGUCCUGGAUCAUUGAAAAUCUCUUGGUUUCCACCUUAGUUGGAAAUCUUAUCUCCAAUAUAAAGAAACAAAUUUAAAAAUAUUGUAGUUGGAUAGGUAGGCCAAUUCCUUAAUGCUAUUAUUGAGGCUAUCUGCUAUGGUAUGAAUGUUCGUUCCUUCCAAAACUCAUGUUGAAAUGUAAUUGCCAUUGUAACAGUAUUAAGAGUUAGGACCUUUAAGAGAUAAUUAGGCCAUCAUGGGUGGUAUUGGUCCCCUUAUAAAAGCAUGAGUAUGACCCCCUCUUGUCCUCUCUCUUGCUUUUGCACCUUCCACCACGGGAUAAUGCAGCAAGAAGGUCCUUGUCAGAUGCCAGCAGCAUGAUGUUGGACUUCCCAGCCUCCAGAACUGUGUGACGAUACAUUUCUGUUUAUUAUUAAUUACUCACUUAUAAAACCACCUUUGCAAAAUUAUAAUGGUGAGAAAAUUGUGACAGUGAAAGAGAUCAGACCUAACUGACUCCAUCUUGCCUUUAACCUCCAAACUGCCCUUGUUCAUUCCUGGGCAUAGGCCAAGUUAACUAUAGGAGGAAUUAGUUUAUAGGUUAACUUUGAAACAAAGAUGAUAACAGCUCUUUCCUGAAGCAAAUCUUCUUCUUGACUGGGGACCAGACCACCUUCUUAAAACUAACAAAUUAGCCACAAGAUUCGAAAUUAUAGUUCAGGAUAUGAUGCAGCCAAGAUUCCUAACCUCCCCAGUUGCUCUUAUGGAUAAGAGAACUAUUGUAAAACCUAAGAUUAGUGUUCCAGAUAUCUCUCAGACCCUGCAUUCUGAUGGACCAGCUGGUGCCACCCAGACUGGUAAUCUGGCUCAACCAGUUCUGCGAUCCCACCCAGAAACAGAAGACAGCAAGAAGAACCCACUUGGAUCCCCCUAUAAUUUCAUCUCUGACCCAACCAAUCAGCACUCCCCACUCCCUAGCCCCUUACCCAUCAAAUUAUCCUUAAAAAACCCUAGUCUCUGAAUUUUCAGGGAGAUUGAUUUGGGUAAUAAAACUCAUGUUUCCCAUUUGGUUAGCUGUGUGUGCAUUAAACCCUUUUUCCUUUGCAAUUAUCCUGUCUUGAUAAAUCAUCACUAUUUGAGCAGGAGGUAAGAAGAACCCUUUGGGCAGUUACAGUCUCGGAUAUUGUUAUAGCAACACAAAAUAGACUAACACACUGUCCCCUAAUUCUUUGAAGAAUUAAAAAUACUGCCCUCACCUUACUAAUUAAGUCUUUACAAAGACAGUAAUAGGGCUCUAAGGAUAACCCAAAGCCCACCUAUAUUUCUUAUCAAUCCCAAAGCCUCUCCUAUUUAUCUCAUGAUGCUUGCUGAUACUUUAAAGAAGUCAGGACAUUAGAAAAGGGAAGAAUUAUCCAAUGAGAAGAUAUACUUAACCUUCCCUAUGUUAUAUUUGUAUGGGUAAAUGCUAUGAAUAUAAGUACAUCAGAAAGUAUAUGAGUUAAAACGCUUAUUGUCCAUAUGUCCUAAUAUAAUGUUAGUAGUCAUAAUUCCAGUUACUAUCUUAAAUGUUUUAUGUCAUCAGAACAACCACAUAUCCUUGUCAAUUGCAUUAUUUUUAUAACAAACUCUCAUCAAAUUUUUAGCCAUUGCCAUUUUGUCUUUUUUCGUUCACAGGGAGUUAUUGUUUUAUUCUGAUGCUUUCCUGAAAGCUCUUCCAAUCAGCUGUAAGGCAGAAUGCAUCAUCUUCAGAACAGGGAACAUUUUAGAGACCCAUAGAAAUGACUGGUUAUCCAAGGUAAAGGAUUCUGAUGGCUCUGCAUAAAUGACUUUGAGAUCAUACCACUGGACUGAGUAAGAAUUUCCAGAAUUCUAGUGGAGAGGCUGAUGGGUUCAUAAAACUGCUAACCCAAGAUAGAGCAGAACAAAAAUAAGUUAUCAUCUGGGACUGAAUGAACUGAUGAAGAUUGAUUAUAAUUUUUAUGGGUUUUAUUUUUGUUUGGAACAUUGCUGGUUCUUUAAUAUUCCAUUUUCUGAAUAUAAAGAAUUCCUUUCUCUUUUCUCUUAACCUAUUUAUAAUUGACAAUUUAGUAGAUUAUAUCUUAUAAACAAGAAUGAAACAUUUAUAUUUUUCUCCCUACCUAAUCCCUACAGAAUUCAGAAACUCAUAUUGAAUAUUCUUAUUUUUAUGGUGAUACAGUUUUUUGCACAGGUUCCAUAAGUAUCUAUUCUCCUUGUAACCGGACAUAAUUGAGGAAAUUAGUUAUAUCACCAAGGCUUUAACUGAAAUGUCGUAUUUGAGAAUGAUGUGCAUAGAAACAGACAUGACUAGGCAGUUUUAAGGAACUAAGGUUGACUUUGUGGAGCCAGUGUUCACAAAGCCCUCUUAGCAAAACUGACCUUGUACCUGGCUUACAGUGUCCCCCGCCUCACAGAUGAGUAAUGAAGAUCACUUCCUGGCAGGCCCAGGAGCUUUAGAAUGCUUUGGAUACCUCAACAGGAGAGGAUUUCACCCAAAUCUAUAGGUACUGCAGAUAAAGUUCUGAUGACAAGUUCUUGGCUUGGCCUCCUAGCCAAGAAAGGCUUUUAAAAGUCCAGUCUGAGAUUCCUUAUAAAACUUCCAGCAAAGCAAACUUUAAAAGGCCUGUGUGGUCAAUUACAAUUCUUGCUUCAUUUAUUACAUGAUCAGGACAUAUUUAACGAGGCUAGGCUUAUUUUGUAAAUAAGAGUAAUCUUACUUUAUCUUUUAUAAAAAUGGAGGUGAUUGAAGAGAGAAAUUUUAUGUUUCAAUGGAAAAUUAUAACACCCCUUGUGAGUUAGCAGAUUGUCGUUCUGUUGAUUGUCUUUGAGCUAUUUUUCAUCUCUUCUAAACUGGAUUCUACCAUCUUGCACAUUUUGUCAAUAAUUAACACUUUCAUUUUUCCCCCAUUCUCCUGACUUGUUAUCACUGAGAACUAGCACUGCCUAUUUCUUGAAGCUCUGAGUGCUGAAGCUGGACAACUUGAUAUAGCUUCAAAAGAUUGAUAACCACCACAACAAUGUGGGAUACCCAGCAAGUUUACCAGAACAUGUGCAUCUUCCAUGCCCUGCUCCAGCAAAUAACCAUUAUUGUGACAUUCUCACUACCAUCUUCACUCAAGAGGCUUCAGACUCAACAUCUAGAAAACUUCUCAACUGGACUGGCUGCCUUCUAUACUCAGAAAUUGGUUCUGCUCGGUUCCAACCUUUAAUCUUCAUUUUUCUGUCCCUUUGCAGAUCUCUUACCUCACAAUUUCCAACAUCAAUCACUCUCCACAGCAAUCAAACUCACUUUUUUUUUUUUUUUUGGUGAAAUGUCCAGAAUAGUUUCAGAUGAAGGACAUGUGGGGACCCACUUGGACCCCUAGACGUGAUAUAAAGAUAAUUUUUAAAUGAAAAUGUUGGAGCUAAAGAAGAUUCAAAAAGAAAUCUUAUCUGAAAUUCUCUUAUCUGAUUAAGUUAGAGUCUCCAGAAAAUACAGCUGCCACUAACCCUCCUCCUAGGAAGUGUCCUACAAAUUCAGCUGACAUGGAAAUAGACUGCCCGUUUCCACUAGCAUAAAAAAAAAGUCCAGUAGAACCUUCCAUACUUUCCCUAACCACUCUCCCUCCUUCUUGGUUAAGUUUGGUAUAUAACCUUUUUUCCUCUGGCUAAUGGGUGAGUUACUUAUUACUGAGUAUUCCUGCCUGUAAGUAUAAAUAAAUCAUGUCUUUUCUCCUCUUUUUUUGGAGGGGGGAGGGUGGGGGGUGGAGUUUCACUCUUGUCGCCCAGGCUGGAGUACAAUGGUGCGAUCUUGGCUCACUGCAACCUCUGCCUCCCGGGUUUAGGUUAUUCUCCUGACUCAGCCUCCCAAGAAGCUGGGAUUACAAGCAUGCACCACCACUCCCGGCUAAUUUUUUUUUUAUUUUUUGUAGAGAUGGGGUUUCACCAUGUUGGCCAGGCUGGUCUUGAACUCCUGACCUCAGGUGAUCCACCUGCCUAAGCCUCCCUGGGAUUACAGGUGUGAGCCACCAUGCCCAGCCAUCUUUUCUCCUCUUAAUCUGUCCAUCAUCACUUAAUUUGUGAACCCCCUACCACUGGAUUCAAGUUGCAAGAAGAAAAAUUUACCCCCCAAUAGUUUCCUCUCUGCUUACUGUCAGCAGCAUUCUCUGUCGUGACUACAAAAUUAUCUAUUCCUGUAUGUGUGUGUGCACACACGCAUGUGUGUAUUUACAGAGACCUGGCAGCCCAGUGGGUUGUGACUGAAUGCCUUUAGGAAUUUCCUUGGGGAAUCAAAGCUUAUUAAAGUAGAAACACUUCCCAGAAGAUCAGAAAUCUAUCUUCAAACCAAGCUUGUUCCCCUGCUUAUUGCAUCAUCAGACCAGGCGGCUUAAAAUAAAUAAUCUAUUCAAAGCGAACCAAUUACAAAACUCACCUUUCAACUCUUAGUUUUGGGAAAUGGACUGGAAGGACUCCUUCAAUGGUAACUUGACCAUGCUGUCUCUCUGAUGACAUCGUCUUGGAAUGCUGAUAAACUUCUUUUAGUAUACACUUUAGGGAGAAGACAGUUGUCUAAAUUAAUGACAAUCCUUGACAGUUGUGAGCUUUUGUGUCUGGUGGACUGGAAUCCUUUCCUAACUCAAUCACUUUUUAGUUUUGUAAUCUUGAGCAAUCCUUUAGCCUUUUUGAGGCUGCCUCAGUUGGCAAGGUGGGAGAAAUAACACUUAACUUGAAAGAUUUGGGGGGAGCAUAGGAUGAGAUCAAUGUAUGCACUGGUUCUUUUCUUUCCGUCUUCUCUUUAAAGUUCUUAUGAAAUUAUUUUGGCCACAAAAUUAUUAAUAAUACUUUAUAGGCAGCAAAUGACACAGCUGUUCCCCCAUUAUAACACACACCAUCCUCCAGUUACUUGAUAUUCUUCACCUAUUUUCCUGCUUCCCUUAUUCUGGAAAAAAGAUCGUACACACUUUAUGUGGACAGAAAACAGUUUCUCCUAUGAAAACCAAAUAAAAAAGAAAAGCAGAACGUAACGUUUAUUUUUGGCCAAUUACUAAAUUUUAAAAACCUUCCCUCUUUGAUUUCAUGAAGGUUUUCUAGUGUUCCCUUUAGCUUGUGUCUGAUAUGGAGUCUGGAUCCCUUUCUCUGUCUUUUUCUUGCAUGUCUAAAUCUCAUUAUAGCUGGCUCUAUCACCAUGACCUGAGCCACCCUGAGUCUGGACUGACUGCAUCAGGCAGUAAACAGGCCAAGAUCUUUCUGGUCAGAGCUUGGCAGCACGAAUUUAGGAAGAUGCCAACAUUGUUGCCAAAUGGAUGGCUCAUAUUUUCCAUCUUUGUCUUUGUGGAUGCCAGUCAUGUGUUCCCUGUGGUGCCCAAAUUGUGCAACAGACACUGGAGGCUCUGCGCCAGCACAAGGGCCUCGGAUGGGGUUAGGCCUUCCUGAUGGGCAUAGGCCUGGAUUGAGCCAGUGGAUAUAUGUUCAGCCUGAAUAAUCAGCUAUGGUGGGCUAGACAAAGGCUUGGCUGGGUAUAUGAAAUCAGAAGCGAAGGCUGAGAGCGGCCCUAGGAAAGGAAAGAUGGGAUGGGUCAGAAGGGGGAACUUGGGUUGGCACUGAUUGUUGAGGUGGGUAUGGCCACCAGGCUGGGCUCAGAAGGAUAGAAGUUGAGGAGUCAGGUAAGGCCACAGCUUGGAUAUAGCUAAAGACAAUAACUAAGAUCAUUCCAGAUGCUUCUCAAGGGAGAUGUGGUGCUGAUGGAGGCUUCCAUUCACUGAAGCAUGGCUUAGAGUUUCUCCCAGCAGCUCCGCUAUGGGGAAAUCAAUCUACCUGUUUUCUCUAAGACCUGGUGUGCAGUGGGCCAGGGCAAGGAAAGGGGGAUACUGGUUCCAUUGGAACAAAAGCUGAGUAUUCUUUGGGUCAGGGCCACUGAGUCUGGGUAAGCAGUGCUGUCUCCUGAGCUGGACUCUGAGGGAAUCUAGAUUUCUAUUCAUUCUUAGGGCUUGGAGAAAGGUCCCUGCCAUGCGAUAUCUAAUCAGAAUGUGGAUAUGAGAAAAUUAGUGAUUUAGGAAAAGUGUUCUUCAAUUUACAUCUGUAUCCAUGUGAGAAGGAAAGAGGAAGAGGAAGAGGAAGAAGAAAAAGUAGAAGAAGGAGAAGGAGGAGGAGGAGGAAGAAUCACUGUCCUAGAGUAUAUCAACAAUUGUGAAACCCCUAAAUCAAUUUAUUAGCCCCAGAUCUGGAGCUUCUCUUGACCUGUAGUUGGUCCCUCCACCUGGUUUGUGGCUUAUAGAACCCUAGGGAUGGCAUAUAGUGGUCAGGGGGAGGAGAGCAGGUGAAUGAUGGGGAGGCACUACCAUGAGAUCUUCAGCCCCCUGUUGAAGGGGUACAUAUCUCUCAGGACGCCCCAACAUCUUCCAGAACUCUUUCCAGAACUUAUUCUGAAACUCUUCUGAGUCCUCUAAGCAUCCCUAGGAAGGACGUUUCUGGUCUAGAUAGCAGGUGAGAUCCUUCCUUUGCUUUAGAGAAAUGAGGUCAGGAAGCUUCUAUGACCUCUUUGGUAGUAAUGUCCACACAGAGAGUAAAACGAGGUUGUUGGAUUGCAGGAGGCAGGGCUUGGAUGUCCUGGAAGAGUGCCACAUCUUUCCUUAGAGCUGCUUUUUGUUCUGAUACUGAGGUGGCCAUCACUGGCCCCAGACCCUGUGGCUCAGCCACGUCCCAACAAAGUGUCAUUCUAGAGGGAGAGACGGCCUUCCUGAAUGACUACAUUCUAGUUCCUGAAGCCUGCCCUUGACUUUUUCUUGAUUAACUUCCCUGAGACUUUAGGAACAUUAUAUGCACUAAGUACAUAAAUUAAAAGUCUGCAUGUAAUAGUCUCUUAAUAGGCAAAUAAGUCUUAGUCCCAAAAUGGAAAAAUAUUGCCCUACAGUACGUCUGAAAAAAACACACAAGCAAACCUGAGCCUAAACCAAACAAAUAAACACCCUUGGCGUCUUCAAACUUUGCUAUAAACAAACAAGAGACCUUGCAAUUCUCAGCAGAAAUGUCUUGUGCACAUCAAAGCAAGAUAUAGGUGCUUAAAGCUUGUCAUGGGUACUGUAAUACCUUCUGGAUGUGAGGCUACGUGCAAUGUAGGGUGAGGGGAAAUGUGUAAUAUCUGUGGCCCAGGCGAAAAUGACCUCAUCUAUCUGUAUCAUCUCCACCCACAAAGCGCUUCUUAGAUUGAAUUAUCCAGGUGAUUGCUUUAUCUCUCCACCAUGCAUUCCACAUAUAAAAUUAUCUUAACAUUAAACACUGUGCCAUUCUUAAAAAUGGAACCCAAGCUCUUAUAGCAUUUUACAAAUCUAUAGUUUGAUUUGUACUUCCUAGAAUUAUUUUUUUAUAACAUCGCUUUUUAAAAAAUUCUCAAGAGUGUUGAUUUGCGAGGCUGAGCUCCCUCAGGAAUAGACUGACCUCCAGCAACUGUUCAUUCCACCCCUAGUAGGAGCUUGAAUAAUGACUGAGUGACAAAGUGUCCCAUUCAGUUAUUAUUCAACUAUAUUAAAUUGCUAAAGUUGGUAAUUGGAGCAUAUCUUAUUACAAAGGCAAAAGUUCAACAUUUUUCCCCAGGCACAAUAGGCUUGCACAUUUGAAAACUUCUGGUCUGGUAAGGAAUAAGAUGUCAGGGCAUGGAGCAUGCAACAAAUUAAACAGGGGAAAAUAUAUUAGCCAAACCCAGGCACAAUUACCAAGCAUUACUUUGAAGAUAUUUACCAAUCUCAAGCUCUUUUAAUAGGGAUGGGAGAGAUAAAGUAGAAGGGGAUCUUGAAAAUAAAUCAGUAUUCCUAAGCUCUAGGAGGCUGACACAAUUGAAAACUGUCAUUUAAAAUAUACUGGGGGCUAAUAAUAGAAGGUAAGUACAGGUUAUUUACAACCUACUGUUUAUCCACAUUGGUUGGCACUCAUGCUGUAUCAAUUAUUGAAUAUUUUGAAAUCUGAUUUUAUUAAAACUCAUUUGGAUCUACAGUUAUAGGCUAUGUAUUGGAAGUAUCAUUUGGGGUCUGACUGAGAUGUCCAAGUUUUUCUAAAAUGGUACUGCACAGAAGGAGCAGUUUUACUGAGACAAUAGGAGCUUUGGGUACCUGUGUGAAUGUGGUCACACCAAGUUACUGCUUCAAAGAACAAGAAACGAAUGCUGUGAGAACUGCAGAGACCACAGCCUAUAGUGGUAUUCCCCAAAUGGGCCUGAUCAGAAGACUCAUUUGGGGGCAGUUGUUUAAUAAUUUAGAUUCCCAGGUACCUUCUCUGGAGAUUAUGAUUACUAGGUCUGUCUAGGGGAGGCCUAGGAAUCAGUAUUUUUGACAGUAGUCCCAGUGAUUCUUUUGAUAAGACAAAUUUGGGAAACAACUAUUGACAUUCAUAAUGCUACCAUUCAUUCAUUAUUUUAAUUAUUUCACAAUUACUGUGGUAUUUUUCAAAUAUGAACCUAGAUUCCCCACAUAAAAUCACCUGGGCUGUUUGAUUAAGAUCCUGGGCUGCAGCCCCAUUCCAAACCUACCAGAUAGAUCUCCAGGGAUAAGAUCCAGAAAUCUGCAUUGUAAAUGAGCCUCCCAAGUGAUUCUUAGGUAAUAAAGUUAGGGAAUACUUGCAGUGUGUGUCAAGCACAUCGUAUGUUUCUUCAAGGUGUCCAUUCUCAGUCAAUAGGCAACAACCACUUCAUUUAAACACCUACUAAGGCAGGAAUCAGUGAAUGACUUGUGUAGAGGUGAUGUAAAGUGUGAAGGGAGAGUGGCAGCUCUUCCUGCUUUAAACCAGCCAUCCACAGGCUUGUGAAAGCAAGAAGGGAGGCUACCCUUCAGACAGAGUGGCCAGGUUUUGGGGCACACGGGAGAGGCAAGUGAGGCCCAGGCCCUUUAAGACUCUGGAGUCUGUGGAUGUGGCCAACCAAUGCCUGGCUGGACCCAAAAACCCCACGACCUCAGGGUCAAGGGCUAGGGCACUGGUGAGAGCUCUCACUCGGAAUUUCCUGCUGGAGUGCUAGACCUGCAGCACAUAAAUAUACUUUACUUUUCUUUCUUCUCCCAUUUCCUUAGUUUUGUUUGUGGAACAGUAUUGGAGCCUUCCCAGGCAUUGUUUCAUUCUGACACCAUAACAAGGUCUGCUCCCUAUUCACUUUCUCAGUCAGAAGCCUGUGGAGUGUUCAUUGUUCCUGUGGAUUUUUACUGAUGCACAAUUGUGUUUAAAAUAACUUGUCCGAAGUACGUCUGGAAAAUAAUAAGUACAUUUAUUUUAAGUAAAUGUUGGCAGGUGAUUCCAAUUCUGAUUUUCUUUGAUUGCUCAUGCAAAUGAAAAUUUAGGUGAAUGCCCCUCUGGUUUCAAAUGGUAAGAGUAACAAUAACAGUAAUAAAUAAGGUACUCAAGAACUUUGAGGGAUUGUUAACUCUAGCAUAGGAUUUUGAGUAAAAAAUCGGAAUGGACCUCAAUUUCCUCAUCUGUAAAAUGGGAAUCAUAAGACCUGCCAUAGCUACCUUACUGGGUUGCUGAAAGUCCAGUAAGUCUAUAGUAUUGAUGCUUGGUGAACUAUAUAUAAACUUUUUACUUUACACACACAUUGGUUGUUGGUUUUAAUAAUUUUUUUUCUUGAUACUUUUUUGCCCUCUGGCUUUAGAUGUCAUUGAAACAUUUUUACACAGCAUCAGUCAACCUAAAAUAAAGCAUUGAAAACUCACAGGAAUUUGGGUAAAAUUUGCUUAUCAUUGCAAUUCCCUCCAUUACAGAGAAAAUUGCUUGCACCAAGAUAUUUUAUUUGUUAAGGUCUGAGAAGGCGGAAGUAUGAUCCAAAUAGCAAAGGUCCCAGUGGCAAAUGAAAGGCACUUGGAAACUAUGGUGCAUUGUUCUGUUCUUCUGGAAGGCAAAACACUGCCGGGACGAGGACGGAGCCAUUCCAAGUGGGUGAUGAAAUUUACUUUAUUGACAUUAUCAAUAAGGAUGUAUUUAUGGGAAACAAACAUGAAGUAUAGCUCACACUUACAGGAUUUGGCAGAUGAGGAAACUGAGGCACAAAAAGGUGAAGUCCUGAGCUCACAGUCAUGCAACCAGCAGGUGGUGAAACACACCUCCAAGCUGCCUGCCUCCUAAGCAUCAAGCUUUGUGGCCCAGGAUCUACUUCAUGCUCCAAAUAUUCAUGGACCUUCCCAGGACCUCAACAAAACAAAACCAUGAAGAAAAACCUUGACAUGAACCCCAAAAAAACCCAGUCAGCAAUAUUUUAAGUUAAAUUUUGAAACAAAUCCAAACGGGUUCCUCCCCAUAAAUCUACCAGUAAAUUGUGCAGAAUCAGAACUGAAGCCAUGCCCUUUCUUAAAGUAUUGAAUUAGAAUAAAUGAGAACAUCUAAAUAUUUUCCAAAUUCAUAUUCCAGUUAUAAUAUUCAAGUUUCUUAGUUUCUCUCUGUUCACAUUCAACAUGAAAUAGUCCCAUUAGUCAGUAGCAAGAGCUGCAACAUUUCUACAGGUACUAAAGGAUGUGAUCAGAGCAGGGAAGAUGGCCAACAAGAUGAUGCCACUCUAGCGGGUGCCCAUCCAAAUCAUAACCCAUGAAUACUGCGGCUUUAUUAUCUUGGACAACAGAAAGCUGAUCUUGUAAUUGGAUGAUCACCCCUGCUUGCAUGCUUUCGAGUAGUUACGUAUGACAAAAGGAGCUACUGGUUUUGUGAUGAUGGGUUUCUGGGUAAACCCUAGAUGCAGAAGCAGCUUUUAAGCAUAGCAGAGCAAGAGUCAAAUGGUUCUGAAAAAAGUUUUAACUCUGAGAUGACUUCUCCCCGCUUCUUUCACUCUACCCUCUCAAUCCUAGAGCAAGUGAGCAGAGUAGGUAAAGCUGUUUCCUCCAGAAAGAUGAUCCAUAUUUUAAACAGCUCUGUGAAUGGGGCACUAAGACUCAGAAGAUCUGGUUUUCAGUUCGCAUUCUGCCUUUAACUGGUCUUGAAAGUUUGGGCAACUCAAUUAUCUCAUGGAGUCAGUAUUUGCAUCUGUACAGUGGGGAUAUGAAUACCUGUCUUACCUACACGGAGCUGUAAGAGCAACAGAAUGUGAGCUGGCAUGAUGUUAUUAUAUGUAUCACCUUGGUUAUUUUAAAACAUGCUUGAUGUAUUAGCCUCUCUGUUUCCUCUUGAGUUUUCCUGCAGAGAUGUCUUUUAAACCAAGCAUCACUCUCCCAAUCAGAGACAGGGCUAACUAGAUAGACAAAUGAGAAAGAGAAGUCGGGGAUGGGAUGGGAGCACAGCCAAUGCAGAAACAGUCAUGUGUAUUCUUCUAGACAGGUGAGCAGAGACAUUUUCAGGAUUUCAGGGGGGCAGGAUGGAGACAUGGGGGAAGCUUCUGGGUCAGUUCUUGAUGGUGUGGCUUCAGUAUGUAGAUGCACACAUUCUCCUCUAAGUCGAAAAGAAUAUACUGGGGGUUUCCAUUCUUUUGGAUUUUCCAGGCUUCUAACGACCUCCACCAUUCCCAGUCCAGAGGAGGUCAUGGGAUGAUAGAAAGUGGGAGCAACCAGGGCAUGUGCCUUUUCAUUUCGCAGUGGAGGGGCUGAGGCUUGGAAAGAGGGCCUGGCUUAGGGAAUACAGACUUCAGCUCAGAAAAUCUAACAGGAAUUCUCUUCUGUGACUGCUAGACAGGCUUGAAACUACUUAGCAAUAUUCUGAUUUUUUUUCUCUGCAAUAUCAAUAAGGGUAAGCACCCAGUGCCUUCUGGCAGCACCCCCAGAAGCUGCCACCUACAGGACUCCCUUCCCUGCUGGCCGGCCCAUGGGCACCCUGUGAGGUGAGCCAGGGCUGCUUCCCAGCAGAGGAAGGCCGAGCCACCAUGCAGCCCUGAUUUGUCUGUAUGAAGGGGCAGAAAUUGAUGGCCCACACAGCUCGAGCUUUUGCAUUUGCGAGAGAAAAAUGUCUUCGUAAAAACAACAAGAACAGCAGCCUGAAAUAAAAGAAACAAAUGGCAUCCAGUCAGAGCCCAGGUUCCCUUCCAAACCCACACCCACACACACCCCUGCGCCUGUUUCAUGCUUCUCAGCAUGAGGCGCUGCCUCCAGUGCUUCUUUCAAAAUACUGCUGAGAAAGUGCCACAGGACUGUCACGUCGACAAACUGUUCAGUCCCCCGUUUGAAGCUGAGAGGUGCCAGGCAGAAACUGGGUUCAAUUAGACAUGAUGGAAAAAGGGAGAGGCCCUCCCUGGCCCUCGCUCAGGCCCCUGAGGUGUGCAUUACAUCUGGCACAAGAAUUGCCCAGAAGGGAGGCCCUAGGCUGCCUAGCGGUUCCCAGGUCUUCUGCCCCACUAUCAGCUUCUCCCUUGCUUCUGCCUAAGCUAUCAGGAGCCUGCAGGCAGCCUGGACCUUGGGGCUUGCACACAUGAGCUUCAGGUCUGAUUAGAAAGGAAGCUGGGCUCCUUCUUCUUUUCUACUGAGGCCUGUUUGGAGAGCAUCCUGGCCAACACAUGCGUAGGGGAUCACAAUGCAUUACUUAGAAUCCCUCCAUCCUGGCUUGUGCCUCAAGUCCUUCCCUUCUGUUUCCACACGCCCAUGCACGAUUUUUUAGACUUGAAGAAAAUUAAUUUGUAUUUAUAACUAAAAGGAUACAGCACUUAUAAGUGCAAUGGUCAGUAUUUUUUUCUGCCUCAUUUUCUAUCCGAUAUUUUCUGUGAUGAUUUGACUUUUAUUUGUAUAUUAUAAAAAGCAUCUACUGGGCCAGGUGUGGUGGCUCAUGCCUGUAAUCCCAGCACUUUGGGAGGCUGAGGCGGGCAGAUCACUUGAGGUCAGGAGUUUGAGACCAGCCUGGCCAAUACGGUAAAACCUUGUCUCUACUAAAAAUACAAAAAUCAACUGGGUGUGGUGGCAGGCGCUUGUAAUCCCAGCUGCUCGGGAGGCUGAGGCAGGAGAAUCGCUUGAACCUGGGAGGUGGAGGUAGAAGUGAGCCGAGAUCACACCAUUGUACUCCAGCCUGGGCAUCACAGUGAGACUUUGUCUCAAAAAAAAAAAAGCAUCUACUGUGUGUCUCUGAAUUUCUUAAUAAGUAUUUGCAAAACAAAUCAUACAUUUCAGCUUGCAAACUAAAAAAAAAAAAAAAAAAGGGCAAUAUGUGCUGGAUUAGUUAAAUGGAAAUGGCCAGCCUUCAGUAAAACAAAUGCUUAUUAAGCACCUACUAUUUGCCAGUCCCUGUGGGAGAACACAAAGAUGUGGAGACACAAAGAUGAAAAGGCACAUGCCUGCCUCCUAAAAGUUUAAGUUAUCCUCAAACUUCCACUCGAUGUGAGAACACAAAUGAUUCUUAACAGUGUUUAAUUCCCAAAUGAAUUUUUUAGAGGAAUGAGGAUGUGUGAGUAUCUGUAUACAUCUAUACAAGUGUCAGGGAUCUAAAUGUGUAGCUGGCAGCAUUUAGAAAAGAACAGGCUAGAUGCAGUGGCUCUUGCCUGUACUCUCAGCACUCUGGGAGGCCAAGGUGGGCAGACUGCUUGAGCCCAGGAGUUUGAGACCAGUCUGGGCAACAUAGCAAGACCCUCUCUAGACAAAAAAUUAAAAAGUUAGCUGGCAUGGUGGUGCACACCUGUGGUCCCAGCUAUUUAGGAGGCUGAGGCAGUAGGAGGACCUGGGAUGUCGAGUGUAACAAGGCUACAGUGAGCCUUGAUUGCGCCCCUGUACUCCAGCCUGGGUGACAGAGUGAGACCCUGUCUCAAAACAAACAAACAAAAACAAAAUAAAAGAAGAACAAAUCCACUUUACCCAACUACAAGCUGUAAGCUCUCACAAUGCUCAGGUCUAAGUACAUGAUGUAUUUAUUUCCUAGAUACCUACUGUGAAGUGUGGAACAAAGCCAAGUUCUAUUACAUAUUUGAAAAAUCCAGGUGACAGGAAGAGGAUACAAAGAUGGAGUAAGCUCCCCGUGUCACCUCGUGGGAGGUAGAAGGGAUCAGGGUAGGGAGUUAACAAGAAAACUAAGAAAGGGAUGAUGAGACUGAAAUGGAAAAGUAGAUCAGUGAUUGCCACAGUAGAGUGUAAUAAAAGCAAUAUAAGAUCUUCUCUUUCUAUUUAUGUUCGUUAAAAAAUAAAAGACAUUAGGCUUGACUACCAUUUAACAGAUUGUCCGUAGUACAUGUGUAUAAUGUGUGUGUGUAUAAACACGGUGUAAGGAGCCUGACUGUCUGAGAUUGUAUUGUGCCGAGCCUAAGUUAGCCACAUGGAUGGACAGAAGCCAUGUGGAGGAGCACCAAGGCACCACACAGGUGUGGGAAUCCUCCUUAGAUCUUGUAGCUCAGCUAGCCACCACCUGACUAUAGCUGAGCGAGUGACCCAGCCAUCCUCACUGGAACAGAAGAGCCAGCUGAACCCUGCCUGAAUUCCUAUGCCACUGAUUAUGAGAAGGAGUAAAUUAUUGUUUUAAGCCA